ensembl:lncRNA
AGCGUCUCUCACCCAUCCCCUCACACAGAUUACAGUCGCUGCUGAUGCUCCAGUUGGCGCCUUUCCAAAAGCCGAUGGCAGCCUGUGAUUACCUCAUGGUUUGUGGGUUGUGGUAGGAAGGCGGAUUCUGUGGCUGGUCACCUGAACGUCUCAGACUCCGCUGUUGUCGGCGUUGCCCGCAGUCUGAUGGAACGUAGGAUCUGGGGAAGCAUCAGGAAAGUGUGACAACCGUUCCGUGGAAACAGAAGAAGGUGCACCGAUGACCUAAACCGAUGAUCUGAAAGCUUGACACUUCAGGACACAUUUCGCCGGAUCUCCAUACAGGAUGUUGGCUGCUUCUACAGCGACAGGUAUGAUGGAAGGGACCCAUAGCACUCUGUAUCUGUAUCCGCCAAUCAUGGAGAGGAGCCUGGUGAGGCCAUUCCAGGAGCCCCGUGCACAUCUUCCCCUGAGACCAAUCUAUCCCCCCGGGAGCCCCUUCCUCCUCUCCGACACCAUCCCCACCCGCAGGGGCCCCUUGCACGCAUUCACCCCAAACCACCACCCCAAGGGUCCCAUGCCCAUAUGUAAGGGUCCUGAUGGCCCCACCCACAAGACCGCCGCCUCCCCUAAAGGCCUCCCAAUCACAGCCUGCCAUCCACGAGAGGAGGCGCCAACCGAGACAGGUUCACUUGAGGCUGAAGAACGUGGGUUUAAAAGGGAGAAGCAAAGUGUCAAGCAGAGCAUGAAGGGGGCCGGUUUCAGAUCGUCGUCAGGCUCUGAGCUCCGCUGGUUGGCAGACCUCCACCUUUCACCCCUCUGCUCAGAUUGCAAGGCCAGGAUCGGGAUGGGGAACCAGGGAGGGAGGCUCAUGCGUCUGGCCUCUGCAGACAGCGAAUUUGACUGUUUGUCUAGACCCCCGACAGAAAACCAGGGGACCAGGAGGCGGAGCGCUGAGGUGCUGAGCCACACCCGUAGCCUCCUGGACACCGUCACCCGGUCCACGGGGACCCCACACUCAGCCGGCACCUCCAGGAGAAGGAGGCCGAAGAGGCUGUGGAUGAGGAGCGGACAGCCGGUCAACGAGUGCCCCCAGUGGGGAGCGCGGGAGCCGAGACCAUCGUAUCCGUCUUGUGGUGUCUCCGUCUUCUGUGUCACCAAGAGAAAGAAGAAAGGCGUGCAAGAAGAAGAGAAAGGGAAGACAGAGUCAAUUCCAGGCAAAGGGACAGCAGUGAUACCCAGAAGUUCAAACCUUACUUGGGGAGUGCAGAGGCCGUACGGCAGGCCCUACAGCCCUGUUCAGGAUUCCCUCAGGGCGGUUCUUUGUGAGAAUAGAUCUGGUUGCCCGAACAAGGUGCUCCCGUUUGAGUACCACUGCCGUUCUCACCAUCCCAGGGAUGUCCUGACCCUAAAAGGAACACCGGCGAACACUGAAUCUGACGGAGAGCAUUCGGAGUAUGACAACGAAGCGCUGGUCUCCCGGGAAUGCACCAGGCAGUCUCCAGAAGGCGGGACGGCCCGGACCCUGAGCCCCAGCCAGGAGGGGUGCAGAGUGGGGGAGGAGGGCGGCAAUGCUGCCUGGGGUGUAAUGGGGAAAAUUGGCGAGGUGGAGGGGAUUGUUCGGAGGGUCGGUCUGACAAGCGCUGACUCUACCGAAGAGGAGACUGAAGAGAGAUUGGAAAGUGUGUUUGGUCUGUUUACCUCUUUGCCUGAUGGGUGUAUCUCUGAGACCCUGACCCAGGCCGCUGUCCAACCUCCACCCGGAACCCUGCCCCAGGCCGCUGUCCAAC